UUUACCAUACUUUUAAGCUUGUUUAGCAGGUUUUACCUGGCGAUUUAAAUCCCGUGAUUUGAGAAAUCAGAUUGGGCCUAGCAAUUGGAGAGAGCAGAAGUGUCUAAGACUGCUCAAUUUUCUACCUUAUUUUGUUUAAUGUUUUAAUAUUUCAUGACCAGAGGUCCACCUAUUCUGGGCCCCAUUUAUUUAGGCCACUUAUGCCAUCUGUACCAUUCAUGCCAUUCAGCCAGUGAGCCAUUCAGACAGUUAUACUUCGUGUGUUUGUAAAUAUCUGUAAUAAAAACUAUUUUAUACACA